CAUACAUCUUGCUCAGGCAACCGAAGAGGCAUGCCUCCAGCAUCCUCUGCCAUGACGAAAAGGCCUCAUAGGAUCCCAGUGAAACCAACCAAACAGUCAAUGCCAACUCUAGCCAGCAGAUCUGGAAGUUGAUCAAAGAUGGGCUGAUCCCACUAGACUAUGACGGUCCAUUCCCAGGUUCCAUGCCAGAAAGGGGCAGGCACAUGGGUACAUGUAGUCCUAAUGGCCCUGCAGAUGCUGGAAUGUCCCAGAAGGUAACCUGCAUGAGGAAGAGGAGGACUCUGCACCAGUUUCUUAGAAGAUACAGUGAAUCUGAAAUUGACCACCACCUGUAUCACAGCCUGUACCU
rnacentral:lncRNA from 1 species